AUUUUUAUCCCAUUUCUUGGUUCCUUAUGUAUUCCUUGGUUCUCUCUAAUUUUUGGCUGUGGGAUGAUGCUUGCAGGUGAACUAUAUGCACGGUUUUUUGGGACGAGUUAGGAAGAUCCACCUGAAAACAGCAUACAAGAUAGAGAACUGAUCAAAACAAAGUGAAAGCUUUUGACUGUGAAUUUUGCAACUGCUGCCUUGCUGCUUUGGUCCUGCUACACGAGCAGGACCAAGUAGCUGACCCUCUACAACAAAAUCAGCCUGCUCGGAAACCCUAGCUUGAAUGUGGUUCCAGAGAUCGACGACUGCGUCUACAAUGGCAACAAAGUCCGAGUCACAGAGCUUCUGCGCACCAUUCACGACCUCCGAAAGCGGAAACGCUUCUUCCAAGCCCUCCAGAUUUCAGAGUGGAUGAAUCAGAAGGGGAUAUGCAUAUUUUUGCCGGUUGAGCAUGCCGUGCAGCUGGAUUUGAUUAGGAAGGAAGAAUUUUGCACAAAUUGUUGUGAAAUAAAGCCAGUUUGAGUCUGUGGGUCAAAUCAUAUUGGACAUUGUUGCAUCAUGAAGCAUGUGGUUGCUGGGAAGUUUAAGCUGGGGAGGAAGAUUGGGAGUGGGUCUUUCGGAGAACUCUAUUUAGGUGUAAAUGUACACAGUGGGGAGGAGGUGGCUGUUAAGCUGGGCAUUUUGCGUUUGAAGGAUUCAAAACUGCUGUAAGCUAAAUGGGUGUGAAACAAGAUGGUGGCACUAUUGACACUGUGCCUGCAAUGGAACAGGAGAAGAUUUCUGAUGAGUUAGAUAAGAGAGUGAAGAAGUUUCUUAGAGGAGCAGAAGCAAAUUUGGAGGGCUUGAAAGAUAAGAAAUUGAAGGGCCAACUUGCUGUUAGAGAAGAAUUGUAUGGAAAAUCUGCACAAGCUGCUGCCAAGGCUGAGAAGGCGCCUUAUCUUCAUAUGAAAACCACCAUUUUCAAUUUUUUGGUAAUGUUAGCAGACGAUUAAAGCUGCCAUGCUUGGUGAGAUAAUGGAUUACUUGAAGUUAAGGCUCCAAGUAAAGGUAGACUUGUUUCAACUAUAAUGCAUGUUUUCUUUUUCACAUGAAUGAUAGAAUUCCUAAUUACUCAAUCCUCUCAUCUAUGUCUAGUGUAUUACAUUCAAUUAUUUGCUGAAACUUUUCUGUUCUUAAUAUGGUCAUUAAUUUUAAACAAUUUUUAUUCCAUACAAGCUUACUUUCCUUUGAUAUUAACAUUUUCUGAUAAAAUGGUAGAAAUCCACUUGCGUUUGACAAAUAAUUGUCAUCAUUAUAGCAGUACAAUGCACAUCCACAUAAUUGAGCAUAGUAAAGGAAAAAUUGAAUACUUCUUAUAGACAUUUUUUUUCAGUACUCCCAGACCUUCUUGCAUUGUACAAAAGGUUCGGAAUUUCUUUUUAAAUGUGUCAAUACAUUAUUAUUAUUUUUUCUUUUGUGCUUUGGCAAUGUGACUUAUCUUGCCAAAAGAUGUAUGUGGGUUUUGAGGGUUCAGGGAUCCCCUUUUCUCAAGAUUACUGGAUUGGUCCUUACCUCCAUGUGUUGUUGAGUCCAGUGAGAGCUGGUAUGCAUAAGAACUUUAAGUAAUCAUUGCCAUAAAAAGUAGAAGUGAUGACUCACACCAGGAAUUAGUUAUCUCAUCAGCAGUUUUAUUUUUAUCCAAGAUCGAAUUUGAUACCUGUGGGUGUAUAUAGGUUAAAUCGAUUGUUAAGAUGGCAAUUUAUUCACUUUUCAACGUCCAAUAUCUCCAUCUCCCUGUUCUGGAUUUUUACUUACUUGAAAUGAAUAGAUUCUAGGCUUUUCGUUUAGCAAAAUGAGCAGUGGAUAGUGCUAACUCAUUUUUUUUACAUUCACAACAAUAUGGGCACUUUUCUUGGCAAUAUAGUGCUUAGCUUAAAAUUAGAAUGUGAUUCAGUUGUAUUGAAUUUGUUCGAUUAACCAUUGGUCCAUUUAUAGUUCAUUGAAUCUUUUGAAUUAGUAAGCUACUGUAUUGCGUCCUUUAGAUUUCUUAGUAUGGUAUUGAUAUGGAAAACAUCAUCUAUCUGUUCUAUUUAUCGCAUGAUAUAAGAAUCAAAGUAGACGUAGCUUCCCUUUGGUGGCCUUUUUUGUGUUAGCAGAUGCCAUCAGAUAGGCAAAAAUGUAUCGGCUACAAAGUGCAAUGAAUGCUACAGAAGUUUUGCCAUAUGCCUUCAUUUUGGCAUUGCCCUUUCUGUGACAAGUAAGCAUUAUAAUUUCACUUUUUGAAAUGAUAUUAAGUUGACUUAUGGAAUAAUAUAGGGUUGUGUCAUGCAUGAAAACUAUGAAUCCAUUUCAUCAUGCAUUUUUUAGUUGCAAGUUUGCUUCACAAACCUCUACGGUUAGCUUCCGUACAGUAUGUUGCAAGUUUGAGGAUAUCUCUACAUCUUAAUUUUUGCUCUCUCUAGUUGCUUCAAGUUUGUAAUUUUACAUGCUAAAUUGCCACUUGAUUUGAUUAUAAAAAUGUAAAACAAAAUCCGUCCAUGAUUUACAAAUUUGUAUUCGAUUUUUUAUGUUUGUAAGGUAUAUGUUGCACAAGCAUGUAAAUGGUACAAAUUAUUUGGUUUUGGGCAGUAAGCUUUGAGUUUUACAAUCCUUGCAAGGGGAUUGUGACUCAGGUGAACACAUUUACUGUAGAAGAAGUUAUGCAUGCAUUCUUUUGGCAAUCCUUUCCUAGAACUUGUAUUGAUCCUGAUAUGAGUCCAACUCUGCCAGCAGAAGCGCGACGUUCAUGAACUAUUUUCUUUCAAUUGCUCCUUGAACACGAGGGCGUACUAGCAUAAAUUUUUUGGCACAAGGUAGCAUAAACUGCUUAUCUUAUCGACCUCUUUCACUCAUGUAUCCCUCUGUUUGUUCAUAAUUGUGUUGAAUUCAUUCAACUUAAAUGUGUUUCAUUCAUCUGAUUACGCCUAAAACAAAUCGUUCCGCAGCAACGCGCAGGUGUAAUUUCUAGUUAAAGCUAAGACACAAGUUUUGAUCAAUGUAUGGCACAUUGGAAGAGAUCCCAAGUGUUUUAAAUUUCUUGCUCUACAAUAUUAAUUAGGUUUAAUUUUCUUCUAAACCUAAUUAUAUACGUAGAAGGUUUAAUUUUUAUAUAAAAUACCAACCGUUGCUAUUCCA